AUCAUAGCAGGAAUGGCACACCUCUGGAGCUCACAGCAGCAGUUUCUUGAUCGUGGUGGUUUCCUGAUGAUGGCAAUAACAACACAGUUCUGGAACCAGGAGCCUCUUGAUCACAUAAGAGGCAGCAGCUGCCCUGAUAGCCAGGUUCCAUGGGGGCUCUUCCACCUUUGCUGCUGGGCACUUCUCCUUGCCUUGUGAAGAAAGUGCCUGCUUCCCCUUCUGCCAUGAUUUUAAGUUUCCUGAGGCCUUCCCAACCAUACAGAACUCAACAUGGUUGCAGCUGGAGGCCAUUAUCCUAAGAGAAUUGACACAGAAACAGAAAAUCAAAUACUGUAUGUUCUCACUUUUGUAAGUGGAAGCUAAACAUUGACAAUACAAGGACAUAAAGAUGGAAACAAUAGAGUUAGAAAAAAUGAAUAAGACUUACUAUUUGAUAACACAACAGGGCAACUAUAGUCAAUAAUAAUUGUACAUUUUAAAAUAACUAAGAGUAUAAUUGGAUUAUUUGUAAUACAAAGAAUGAAUACUUAAGGUGAUGGAUAUUACAUUUGCUCUGAUGUGAUUAUUAUUCAUUGCAUGCCUUUAUCAAAAUAUCUCAUGUAACCUGUAAAUAUAUACACCUACUAUGUACUCACAAAAAUUAAAAAUAAAAUUUUUUUUAAAAGAUGGAAACAAUAGACAGUGGGUACUAUUAGAGGAGGGAGGGCGUAAGGGAAGCAAAUGUUGAAAAACUACCUAUUGGGUGCUAUGCCCACUACCUGGGUGAUGGGAUCAUUUGUAUCUCAAGACCCCAAGACACAAUUUACCCAUAGAACAAAGCUGUGCAUGUAUCCCCUGACCUAAAAUAAAAGUUGAUAAAUGAAAAGAAA
rnacentral:lncRNA from 10 species